GAUGAACGCUGGCGGCGUGCCUAACACAUGUAAGUCGAGCGAUUCUCUUCGGAGAAGAGCGGCGGACGGGUGAGUAACGCGUGGGUAACCUGCCCUGUACACACGGAUAACAUACCGAAAGGUAUGCUAAUACGAGAUAAUAUGCUUUUAUCGCAUGGUAGAAGUAUCAAAGCUUUUGCGGUACAGGAUGGACCCGCGUCUGAUUAGCUAGUUGGUAAGGUAACGGCUUACCAAGGCGACGAUCAGCAGCCGACCUGAGAGGGUGAUCGGCCACAUUGGAACUGAGACACGGUCCAAACUCCUACGGGAGGCAGCAGUGGGGAAUAUUGCACAAUGGGCGAAAGCCUGAUGCAGCAACGCCGCGUGAGCGAUGAAGGCCUUCGGGUCGUAAAGCUCUGUCCUCAAGGAAGAUAAUGACGGUACUUGAGGAGGAAGCCCCGGCUAACUACGUGCCAGCCGCCGCCGUAA
rnacentral:rRNA from 1 species